UCCAAAAGAUCGCAUGUGAUUGUGGGAAAGAUUCUAUCGGCGUCGGAUGGGGUCGCGUCCUAUCAGCUUGUUGGUGAGGUAACGGCUCACCAAGGCUUCGACGGGUAGCCGGCCUGAGAGGGCGACCGGCCACAUUGGGACUGAGAUACGGCCCAGACUCCUACGGGAGGCAGCAGUGGGGAAUAUUGCACAAUGGGCGCAAGCCUGAUGCAGCGACGCCGCGUGAGGGAUGGAGGCCUUCGGGUUGUAAACCUCUUUUGUUUGGGAGCAAGCCUUCGGGUGAGUGUACCUUUCGAAUAAGCGCCGGCUAACUACGUGCCAGCAGCCGCGGUAAU
rnacentral:rRNA from 1 species